rnacentral:rRNA from 1 species
CAUAAAAAUUUAAUUUAGAAUUUUAUUUUUUAGUCAAAAAGCUAAAAUAAAUUUAAAAGACGAGAAGACCCUAUAAAUCUUUAUAUUUACAUUAUUAUAAUUUUCUAGAUUUUUUUUAUUAUAAUAAUCUAUAAUAUUUUAUUGGGGUGAUAUUAAAAUUUAAUAAACUUUUAAUUUUAAGAUUCAUUAAUUUAUGAAUUAUUGAUCCAUUAUUAUUGAUUAAAAAAUUAAGUUACCUUAGGGAUAACAG